CUUUCUUUUGCUGGCGACCGGCGCACGGGUGAGUAACACGUAUCCAACCUGCCCUUUACCCGGGGAUAGCCUUUCGAAAGAAAGAUUAAUACCCGAUAGCAUAAUGAUUCCGCAUGGUUUCAUUAUUAAAGGAUUCCGGUAAAGGAUGGGGAUGCGUUCCAUUAGGUUGUUGGUGAGGUAACGGCUCACCAAGCCUUCGAUGGAUAGGGGUUCUGAGAGGAAGGUCCCCCACAUUGGAACUGAGACACGGUCCAA
rnacentral:rRNA from 1 species